rnacentral:rRNA from 1 species
UUAGGGUUCGAUUCCGGAGAGGGAGCCUGAGAAACGGCUACCACAUCCAAGGAAGGCAGCAGGCGCGCAAAUUACCCAAUCCCGACACGGGGAGGUAGUGACAAUAAAUAACAAUACAGGGCUCUUACGGGUCUUGUAAUUGGAAUGAGUACAAUUUAAAUCCCUUAACGAGGAACAAUUGGAGGGCAAGUCUGGUGCCAGCAGCCGCGGUAAUUCCAGCUCCAAUAGCGUAUAUUAAAGUUGUUGCAGUUAAAAAGCUCGUAGUUGAAUUUCGGGAUUCUACCGUUGGUCGGGCUAACAAGUCUGUACUGGUGUGUAGAAUUUCUACCUUCUGGGGAACUAUCAUGUUAUUAAUUUAGCGUGGUGGGAAACCAGGACCUUUACCUUGAAAAAAUUAGAGUGUUCAAAGCAGGCUUACGUCUGAAUACAUUAGCAUGGAAUAAUAGAAUAGGACGGUGGUCCUGUUUUGUUGGUUUCUGAAUCACCGUAAUGAUUAAUAGGGAUAGUUGGGGGCAUUAGUAUUCAAUUGUCAGAGGUGAAAUUCUUGGAUUUAUUGAAGACUAACUUCUGCGAAAGCAUUUGCCAAGGAUGUUUUCAUUAAUCAAGAACGAAAGUUAGGGGAUCGAAGACGAUCAGAUACCGUCGUAGUCUUAACCAUAAACUAUGCCGACUAGGGAUCGGACGAUGUUAAAUUUUAUUGACUCGUUCGGCGCCUUACG